rnacentral:tRNA from 1 species
GCCUCGGUAGCUCAGUUGGUAGAGCGUUGCCUUGGUAAGGCAGAGGUCGUGGGUUCAAUCCCCACCCGGGGCU